CUUCAAGAAACCUCUACCUGUUUCCACCAGGCAAGACUGGGGUUUUGAAAAUCACUCUGUCUUCUAGAAACAUGCCUGCCUUUCCAUGCUUCAACAAGGCAAAAGCACAACAGAUGAAAAAGCAAGCAAAUGGAGCAAAUGUGGGAUUGACACAGAAAUGAAGACUGCAAAUGAAUGGUAACAAUAUACUCCCAUCAAGGAAGAUAGGGAAUGAUUGAUGAAUGAAUAACUGAAUGUCUUCCAGAAAUAGCAAAUGAAAAUUUAAAGAAUCAGAUACAUUUAAAGAGAGACUUGGUGACUUGGAAUACAUGUCAUGAGGAAUUUCCAAAGAUGCAGCAGAAAGAGACAAAGAUGCAGAGAUACUAAUAAAAUGUAUUGAGAUAUGCUUAAAAGCAUGAAAUGGUACACUUUAAUUUCUAGAAAUAGAAAUUAAAAAGAGUAUGGACAACAUGACCUAAGUU
rnacentral:lncRNA from 1 species